rnacentral:lncRNA from 1 species
UAUUACUGUAACAAAAUACCAAGAUAAUCAACUUAAAAUGAAGAAAGGUUUAUUUUGAUUAAGGGUUUUGGAGAUUUUGGUCCAUGGUCAUUUAUUUUUUGUUGAUUUCAGACCCGUGGUGAGAUAGCACAACAUGCUGAGUGCCCGUGUCAAAGCAAGAUGCUCAUUCAUAGCAGCAAAGGAAAAGACAGAAACCGAAAGCCACUGAAUUCACAGAGUCCUCUAAGAGCAUGCUUUGUAGGGACCUCCCACUGUACCCUGCCUCUUAAAGUUUCCACCACCUCCUAAUAGUGAUCUAGACUGGGGAUCCAGCAUUUAUUUAACACAAGGUCCUUUGGAUGGAGAUUCCAGGUCCAAAGUACAGCAACCAUCAUCCCAACAAUAAGUUCAUAUUAAAUUUUUGUGGACUGGUGAACAUCACUGGAAUUGUCAAGAAACAUUCUCUUACAUUGUGCAUGGCCACGUAUUUUAACCUUUCUUUGAGAAUUUCAACUGCCCAUUUGGAGCGCAAAAAGGCACUGGUGAUUUGUUAGCUUAUGGAAGGAAGAAAGUUCACUUGAACAAUUAGGGACAGGCUGCUUUCUGAAAACAGCAAAGGACAUACAAAUGAG